rnacentral:rRNA from 1 species
GUAGGGAAUAUUGGACAAUGGGCGAAAGCCUGAUCCAGCCAUGCCGCGUGUGUGAAGAAGGUCUUCGGAUUGUAAAGCACUUUAAGUUGGGAGGAAGGGCAGUAAGUUAAUACCUUGCUGUUUUGACGUUACCGACAGAAUAAGCACCGGCUAACUUCGUGCCAGCAGCCGCGGUAAUACGAAGGGUGCAAGCGUUAAUCGGAAUUACUGUGCGUAAAGCGCGCGUAGGUGGUUUUGUAAGUUGGAGGUGAAAUCCCCGGGCUCAACCUGGGAACUGCCUCCAAAACUGCAUGACUAGAGUACGGUAGAGGGUAGUGGAAUUUCCUGUGUAGCGGUGAAAUGCGUAGAUAUAGGAAGGAACACCAGUGGCGAAGGCGACUACCUGGACUGAUACUGACACUGAGGUGCGAAAGCGUGGGGAGCAAACAGGAUUAGAUACCCGUGUAGUCC